rnacentral:tRNA from 1 species
GCCUGGGUGGCUCAGUUGGUUGAGCGUCCGACUUUGGCUCAGGUCACGAUCUCGUGGUUUGUGAGUUCGAGCCUUGCAUCGGGCU